rnacentral:sRNA from 12 species
UGGGCUGAGCAAUAUGCGCUCCUGGUCCACCGAAAGGCGGGGAUAUACCCC